rnacentral:rRNA from 1 species
UGCAGUCGAGCGGUAGCACAGAGAGCUUGCUCUCGGGUGACGAGCGGCGGACGGGUGAGUAAUGUCUGGGAAACUGCCUGAUGGAGGGGGAUAACUACUGGAAACGGUAGCUAAUACCGCAUAACGUCGCAAGACCAAAGUGGGGGACCUUCGGGCCUCAUGCCAUCAGAUGUGCCCAGAUGGGAUUAGCUAGUAGGUGGGGUAAUGGCUCACCUAGGCGACGAUCCCUAGCUGGUCUGAGAGGAUGACCAGCCACACUGGAACUGAGACACGGUCCAGACUCCUACGGGAGGCAGCAGUGGGGAAUAUUGCACAAUGGGCGCAAGCCUGAUGCAGCCAUGCCGCGUGUAUGAAGAAGGCCUUCGGGUUGUAAAGUACUUUCAGCGAGGAGGAAGGCGUUAAGGUUAAUAACCUUGGCGAUUGACGUUACUCGCAGAAGAAGCACCGGCUAACUCCGUGCCAGCAGCCGCGGUAAUACGGAGGGUGCAAGCGUUAAUCGGAAUUACUGGGCGUAAAGCGCACGCAGGCGGUCUGUCAAGUCGGAUGUGAAAUCCCCGGGCUCAACCUGGGAACUGCAUUCGAAACUGGCAGGCUAGAGUCUUGUAGAGGGGGGUAGAAUUCCAGGUGUAGCGGUGAAAUGCGUAGAGAUCUGGAGGAAUACCGGUGGCGAAGGCGGCCCCCUGGACAAAGACUGACGCUCAGGUGCGAAAGCGUGGGGAGCAAACAGGAUUAGAUACCCUGGUAGUCCACGCCGUAAACGAUGUCGACUUGGAGGUUGUGCCCUUGAGGCGUGGCUUCCGGAGCUAACGCGUUAAGUCGACCGCCUGGGGAGUACGGCCGCAAGGUUAAAACUCAAAUGAAUUGACGGGGGCCCGCACAAGCGGUGGAGCAUGUGGUUUAAUUCGAUGCAACGCGAAGAACCUUACCUGGUCUUGACAUCCACAGAACUUUCCAGAGAUGGAUUGGUGCCUUCGGGAACUGUGAGACAGGUGCUGCAUGGCUGUCGUCAGCUCGUGU